GAGGGUAUAGCUCAGUGGUAGAGCGCAUGCUUAGCAUGCACGAGGUCCUGGGUUCAAUCCCCAGUAACUCCA
rnacentral:tRNA from 1 species